CUUCCCGACUUGAUUUUCGGCUCCUCCUCCUGUCCUUCGCACCCGCCCCGGGCCCGCACUCGAUAUGGACCUUCUUCCCAGGGUUCUCUUGCAGGUCUUUCCCAGGUUCCUCUGCGCAGCUCUAUCUAAACUCUCUUCCCCUUGCCUUUAGCCUAGACCGAGCUCCCUGCGUGCACCGCGCGCUGCCUGAGAGGUCACCCAGAAUCAGCAUGUCUGGGACUGAGGAAGCGGUUCUUGGAGGCCAUGGCAGCCAUCCUUCUUCUGCUGGUGGCAACUCUGUAUUAUGCUUUGGACAGUACCAGUACACGGCAGAAGAGUACCAGGCCAUCCAGAAUGCUCUGAGGCAGAGGCUGGGCCCGGAAUACGUCAGUAGCCGCAUGGCCGGAGGAGGCCAGAGGGUAUGUUACAUUGAGGGUCACAGGGUAAUUAAUCUGGCCAAUGAGAUGUUUGGUUACAACGGCUGGGCACACUCUAUCACACAGCAGAACGUGGAUUUUGUUGACCUUAACAAUGGCAAGUUCUACGUGGGAGUCUGUGCAUUUGUGAGAGUCCAGUUGAAGGAUGGCUCAUAUCAUGAAGAUGUGGGCUAUGGUGUCAGUGAGGGCCUCAAGUCAAAAGCCUUGUCUUUGGAGAAGGCCAGGAAGGAGGCCGUGACAGACGGGCUGAAGCGGGCGCUGAGAAGUUUCGGGAAUGCACUUGGAAAUUGUAUUUUGGACAAAGACUAUCUGAGGUCACUAAAUAAGCUUCCACGCCAGUUGCCUCUUGAAGUGGAUUUGACUAAAGCAAAGAGAGAAGAUUUUGAACCAUCUGUGGAACAAGCAAGAUACAGCAGCUGCCGGCAGAACGUGGCUCUGGGACCCCCCAGACCACAGGCGGUGACCUCCCCUUGCAGACCGAGCCGCUCAGAUGAUGCGCACACCGUGGCGCAGGAGGAGAAGGACAGCAGCUCCGGUCUGGCCGCUGCCGGGGAUCGCGACGCCGAUGCCACGUACCAGCGCAAGCUGCGGCAGAAACAGUUGCAGCGCCAGUUCCGGGAGCAGAUGGAGAAGCAGCAGCAAGUUCAACCGUCCGCUCCUGCCGUUGAGAAGAAGACCCAGGCAGCACUGCCAGCACCUCCUCUGAAGCACAGCACCCCUGUCGCUGCUUUGGAACCGCUCACGGAGAAAGACUUCCUUACAGACAGUCUUGGAAUGUGGGAUAUGGGUCCAGAUGCAGGCGACAGUGAUGUCAAGCCCUUACCUAAACCAGAACUGCUCCAGACCUCUGCUACACCAGUCCUGAAGAACCAGAUGGUGACCUGGGACAGGACCCCGCAGAACCUCUGCCACCAGAAUCCACAAGCAAAGUCUGGCCUCUCACACCUCCAAACUCACAUCAACCAAGAUGUAACAGGAAACUGUGAGAUCUAUGGGAAGAACCAGGACUUGAAGAAACGGAAAUUGGAUCCAUCCUAAUGGAGGCUCAGGUUUAUGGUGCCACCGUCCUGCAGUUUUUUUCCUAAUCAAUCAAGGAAAUGAUCUAAGACCAAAGAAAAGGCAUUUUAAAAAGCAAAAUAAAUUCUUUCCUUUGUAACAAAAAAUAUCACUGAUCCAUUUGUGGGAAGCUAUGAACCGAAGGCAAGGAACUCCAAGUACAGGAAGGCAGCCAGCCAUUUCUAUUCCUAUGGAAGAUGAAGAGGCUGUCGCUUACCCUGAUUUCCCCUUUAUCUUACGUCUCAUUACAUGGAUUUGGUCAUAUGUUCAUCUUUUGGUUUUGACAUCCUUACCAUUUUUUUUUUUUUCCAGAAAGAAAUCUCUCCCUUUUCUGAAGCAUAAUCUUGGUUUAGUUCAGAACUGCUGCUUUAAAAAAGUUCCCGGAGUCAGGAACCCAGUUAUAAAUUGUACACAACUCAAAACUGAGCUAAUGAGAUCAUGAAAAGGGAAUUUGCUGGAAAUGAAACCCCACAGCUCAACAAAAGCAAGUUUGGUUUAUUUGAAUGGUUUCAUUAAAUAAGUCUACAAAGGUAACAAACUGAAGCACGAAGCGCAAUCUUACAAGGAGCGCAACACCCAGAGUUAGUGCAAAAUGUACAAUUAACGGCUGCUGAGAAACCCCCAAGGUUUGAAUUUAGUUUAUUUUUUUUUAAAGUGUACAUUGUUAAAUAAUGUAAGGAAAACAUUUAUAAUUCAGGAAGAUUUUUGUAAUGUGGAAAAAGAUACUCAAAGUGUACUAUUAACAAGAAAAUAAUUUAAACAGUUCAGUAGCACUAGUUCAUUCGUCUAGGCUUCAGUUACUUCAUCCACAGGAGGGAAAAAAAAAUCAGUAAAUAAAACCAGUUCUUUUUGUGUGUAAGUGAAGAGAUCUCAAAAUUAAUUAAACCAAAAUAACAAAAAA